ACCACGAUUUGAUAUGACGAAACU
rnacentral:siRNA from 1 species